rnacentral:rRNA from 1 species
AUGGAGGUAGUCGUCCAACAAGAGCGACGUACGUGUGAUCAAGGAAGGGACAUGCAUAUGGAAGCAGUAAUAAAGCUGCUACCCGACGACGUGCUCGCGGACAUCCUCCGCCGUCUCCCGCCGCGCAGCCUCGCGACGUCACGCUGCGUCUGCAAGGCCUGGCACGACAUGAUCGACGCCGGCCAGCUGCUACGGGCGGACCUCCUUCCGCACACGCUCGGCGGGAUCUUCAUAGACUUCCGCUUCCUGCAGGUCUCCGAGCUCUUCCGUCCGUCGACCAGGACCGCGGUCUCCGGCGACCUCACCUAUAGCUCGGCCAACGCCGCCGUCAGCGAGCACUGCAACGGCCUCGUCCUACUACCCUCCCACACGGUGGUCAACCCCGCGACGCGGCAGUGCGCGCAGCUGCCGCCGCUGCCACCGCUGCCCUCGCGCGCCGGGAUGGAGGAUUUCUACGUCUUGGGAGGAGACAAGUUUCUGGUGUUUGAUCCCAGCGUCUCUCCUCACUACGAGGUGGUCUCGAUCCCUCUCGUUCCAUUUGAGGAGAGGCUGGGCCGGAUGCCCAGGGAAUCGGAGUGGCCGCCGUCGCUGUUCGUCCUGCCCGUCUACUCGUCGGAGACGAAACGGUGGGAGGAGAGGCCGUUCGUCCGGCAAGGAAGCGCCGCGGGAACCAUCGCCGGCAUGCUGGAGGAGGACAGGCUACACCUGGGCGUGAAGCGCUACGGCGUGUACCUGCGCGGGGCGCUCUACGUGCAGAUCCAAAACGACUUCUGCUGCAGGAUAUCGAUGGCGGACCGUAAGUAUCGGGUGAUCCGCCCUCCGGCGGGCAUGGAGAUGGCCGAGUAUCCGGAGCUUCAUCUGGGCAAGUCGGGGAACGAGGUCCGCUGCGCGCUGGUGGAAGACGCGUUCAGAUUUCUCCGGGUUUGGGGGCUGGACGAGUCGCGCGGGCGAUGCAAGUGGGCGCUGAAGCAUCGCGUCGACCUUCGGCAAGCGCUGGCACGUGGGAUGUGCCGUCGGGAAGAAACCGACGAGCGUUGGAUCCUGGAAAAUGUCAACGACGGCGGCGGCGGCUCCGACGGAGAAGAAGAAGGCGACGAUCAGGCACCGGCCAAAUCUGAUUAUAUGAGUUUCCUCGGGUUCCAUCCUUUUGAGGAUGUCGUCUUCUUGUGCGAUACUUUGACGAGGGGGUUGGCCUAUCAUUUGAAGCGCUCGAGGCUUGAGUACAUGGGCAUCCUGCGUCCAAGGCACUACGGCCAUAUCGCUGGCUCGGUUGCAGGUGUAAAUGCAUCUUUUCCCUACACGCCCUGUGGGAUGGGGGAACUGUCGUAA